UGACUCAGUGGUAGAGUGCUUGCCUCACAUGCAUGAGGCCCUGGGUUCAAUUCCUCAG
rfam:Dipodomys ordii contig_56068, whole genome shotgun sequence.